AACGCGAAGAACCUUACCUACACUUGACAUCCAGAGAACUUACCAGAGAUGGUUUGGUGCCUUCGGGAACUCUGAGACAGGUGCUGCAUGGCUGUCGUCAGCUCGUGUCGUGAGAUGUUGGGUUAAGUCCCGCAACGAGCGCAACCCACAUCUUUAGUUGCCAGCAGUUCGGCUGGGCACUCUAAAGAAACUGCCCGUGAUAAGCGGGAGGAAGGUGUGGAUGACGUCAAGUCCUCAUGGCCCUUACGGGUUGGGCUACACACGUGCUACAAUGGCCGGUACAGAGGGAAGCUACCCUGCAAAGGGAUGCGGAUCUAUAAAGCCGGUCACAGUUCGGAUCGGGGUCUGCAACUCGACUCCAUGAAGUCGGAAUCGCUAGUAAUCGUAGAUCAGAAUGCUACGGUGAAUACGUUCCCGGGUCUUGUACACACCG
rnacentral:rRNA from 1 species